rnacentral:lncRNA from 1 species
AUGGUGGCCUGGUGGGGAGAUAUCAGCCUGCUGUGGGCAUGGGGUGAUGUCCCAGGUUCCCCAUCCUGUCCCUGUGUCCCCAUAUUCCCAUGUCCCCAUGUCCCCAUCCCGUCCCCAUCCUGUCCAUAUGUCCUUAUAUCCCCAUCCCAUCCCGAUGUCCCCAUGUCCCCAUCCCGAUGUCCCCAUGUCCCCAUCCCAUCCCACCUUGGUCCAAACCCGCAGCUCCACAGCCAAGCUCCUCAGCAGCCUGCAGGGAAUGCAUUUGGGAACAGCCAGUUAGCCGUAAUAUUAGGGGUUAUUAAUAAUAAUAACCAAACUGGGGGAUGGGUGGAGGUGAGCCCCUGGCCCAGACACCCCCCCUCAAUAAAAAUGGCCCUUUGUGUGUGUGUGUGUGGAGGGGGGGGGGGGGCCGCCACCCAGCAGAGACCCCAAUUUUACACUUUUCAGUGGGUUAAAGCAUUGAAGGAGACAUUUGAAGCACAGAGCCUGAAAUUAAGCAGCAGUGGGCAAACAAAGAGGUGGGUGCUGUUGGUGCCCUGCCGAAAGCGGGGACAGAUGCAGCGUGAUGUGCUGAGGGAGCCUGAGGCGCCCGCACCCCUCUGUGCUGCUGCCACCACCACAAUGCCAGUGCCCAGUGCCCACCCGGUAAGCCCCAGCACAGCCCCCGGGACGUGAACGCAGCGUGCUCACAAGGAACCCCAGCUCCUGGGCUGCCCCAAGGCCCCCAUCCCUCGCCUGGGCUCACCACGAGCCGGGCCCUGCACCACCACGAACACCUCACGGGUUCAGCCCCCUCAUGUCAGGCUGUGGAGAGGUGAGGAGGGCUCCUUCCCCCCAAAAAAACCCUCCCAACCCUUCUGACACAAUAAAACCUUCCCUCAGCCCUCACCCCACGCAUGGUCGCUGCCCCCCCCCAGUACACUCAGAGGCGGCUGGCUGGGCAAAGGAGGUUUAUUGGGGCCAGGUUUUAGGGUUUCAGCUAUAAAUAGUGCUCUAGGUGUCGAGGCGGCACAGGGGGCUGUCGUAGACCAUCUGCAGGUUGACGCGGUGCCCCACCAGCUCGCGGAUGUUGUUGAUGCCGUACUUGAUCAUGGUGGGGCUGCAAAGGAGAGAAGUGGGGGGGGGGUCAGAUGGGGCUGGGCCCUGCCUGCCCCGGGGGGGGGGGGGGGGGCUGUGGCUGCCCCUCCACUCACCGCUCCAGCGAGAGCCCCCAGGCGAUGACGGAGACGUUCUCGGGCAGCCCCAUGGGCAGCAGCAGCUCGGGGCGGAAGACCCCCGAGUUCCCCACCUCCACCCACUUCUUCAGGCCUACAGAACGAGACGGGGGGGGCCCCCACCCCACAGGGUGUGAGAUGGGCACCCCGCAGACCGCCCCCCCACACGCUUUGCAGAGGGUCACGGGCUCCUCAGGGGUGCCCCCCAGGAGAGGGAGAGGUUAAGCCGAUCCCCAAAUUCCACAGAGAACGAGGCUGAGGUGACCCCCCCCACCUUAAAAAAACACACACAAGGGAGCCCCCCCACGCCUCGCAGGGCCCCCUCACCCUCGUGGUAGCUGAACACCUCCAUGCUGGGCUCCGUGUAGGGGUUAUAGGCAGGCUUGAAACGCAGCUUGGUGAUGCCUGGAGGGGGAAAAGGGGCGUCAGGGGGGUGCCCCAGCCCCCUCCCUUUGCCUCGGUGCCCCCCCCCCCGAGUACCCAGCUUGGUGAAGAACUCCCGGAGGGUGCCCAUGAGGUGGCCCAGGGUGAGCCCGCGGUCGGCCACCACCCCCUCCACCUGGUGGAACUCGGCCAGGUGGGUGGCGUCCAGGCUCUCGUUGCGGAACACGCGGUCGAUGGAGAAAUACUUCACGGGGGUGAACUUCUCCUGGAAAAACAUUGCGGGGGGGGGGAGUCAGGCAACGCACCCCCCAUGUUCCUUUUCCUUUUCUCCCCCCCCCCCUCCCUAAAUCCUGGCCCACCUGGCAGGCCAAGUGAUAGAGCGCGCGGGCGCUGGCGGACGUGGUGUGGGUGCGCAGCAGGUUCUUCCGCGCCUCCUCCACCUUCCACUCGUAUUUGUACCUGGGGGGGGGCUUAUCAGUCCCAAUGCUACUAGGAGGGUGGGGGGGGGGCCGGCAGAGCCCCCCCAAACUCAACCCCACCCCGCUCACCCCUGCGAGCCGUAGCCUCCCUGCGAGUGCACCUUCUUCACCUUGGCCAUGUAGCUGGCGGGCAGCUCAGGGGCUUCAGCGGGGUCUGGGGGGGGAAAGGGGGGGUCAGCGGGGAUUUGGGAAGCACGGGGAGGGGGGGCGGCGGGGAUUUGCCCCCCCACGCACCCUGCAGGAAGAAGGUGUCGUGCUGGUCCCGCGCCGGGUGCUGCUGGGGCUGGAAGAGGGCGUCGAAGUUCCAGAAGGAGCUCUCCACAAAAUUGUCGGUGGGCAUCUCCGUGAACCUGUGGGGGAGCCAUGGCAUCACCGGGAGGGGGGGGCUGUGCUGUCGUAGCCCCCCCCCUUUUGUGUGUGCGCCCCCCCCCCCCCAACUCACCCCAUCUCCAGGAAGAUCUGGCGGAGCUGGGAGCGCACCUUGAGCAGGGGGUGGAGGUGGCCACAGGCGGGCGGCAGCCCCAGCGCCGAGAAGUUGUAGGGCUUGAAGGGGAGCUGGCGCCACUGAGCCCCUACACGGGGGGGUUAUGGGGUCGUUUUGGGGAGGGGGGGGAAAGGUUGGGGCCCCCCUGCGCCCCCAGACUCACGUCGCGAUCAUCUCUGGCGUCAGGUCGGUCUCCUGCCGCGCCACCGCCGUGCUGAAGGCGCGGCCCUUGCGGAUCCAGUAGGACUUGAGGGUGCUGGGGGGGGAUAUAGGACUUUUGGGGGGAUAAGGGUUUUUUUGGGGGCUAUGUGGGGUUUGGGGGGAGAUAUGCUUUUUUUUGGGGGGGGAGAAUAGUUUUUUUUGGGGGGAAUAGUUUUUUUGGGGGGGAAAUAGGCUUUGGGGGAGAAUAGGGGGUCUUUGGGGGGAAUAUGAGGGUUUGGGGGGGAAUAGUUUUUUUGGGGGGGGGAGAAUAGGGGAAUUUUGGGAGGGAAUAGUUCUUUUUGGGGGGGAACAGGCUUUUGUGGGGGAUUUUUUUUGGGGGGGAGGAGAGAUAUGGGGUUUGGGGGAGAAUAUUUUUUGGGGGGGGAGGAAAUACAGGGUUUUGGGGAGGGAAUACGAGGUUUUCAGGGGGGAUAUUUUCUUUUUGGGGGGAAUGUUUUUUAGGGGGAGGAAUAUGUGGUUUUGGGGGGAAAUACAGGGUCAUUUGGGGGGACUAUGUGAUUUUGGGGGAGGAAUAUGGUUUUUGGGGGGGAAUGCAGGGGUUUUGAGGCAGAAUAUGGGGUUUGUGGGCGGAAUAGGGGGUCCAUAUGGGGUUGAGGGGGGGAUGUGGUGUUUUAUUUGGGGGGGGGAUUUUUUUUGGGGGGGGGGAUGGGGCUCACACUUCGAGCAGCAGCUUCCUCCUCUUGAGCUCAUUGCGUUCGCGCUCGGGCAGCCCAGCGGCGUCGCCCUCCUGCACCCUGCGCAGCCCGUCCUGCACCGCGUCCUGCACCGCCUCCACCUGCGGGACGGACGGACGGGCGGGUGGGGGGACGGACGGACGGACCGGUGGCCCCCCCAGGGGUGUUUGGGGGGUGUGGGGGGCACUCACGGCGCGGAAGACGCGGGGGCCGCCGGGCGCCGCCUUGUCGAGGCGCAGCCACUUGUUGGCCAUGGCCUUGCUGAAGCCCACCUGGGCACCGGGCAGCUUCUGGGGGGGGGAAGGAACCGGAGGGGGGCGGUGAGGACCCCCCCCGGUGCCCCCCCUCCCUCGCCCUCCCGGUAACCCCCCCCCCCCUCUCACCAUGGCGUCGCUCUGGGGCAGCCCCUCGGGGGGGAGGCUGCGGAAGAGCCGCACCUCGGGGCUGCCGGCCCGCAGCACCUCCGCGCCCUCCUCGCUCAGCUCCCAGCGCGUGGCCGCCCGCGCCUCCGCCUCGAUCACCUGCGGGGGGCACCGGGAGAGCCGGGAUUGGAACCGGGACCGAGAAUGGGACGGGAACGGCACCGGGACUGGAAAUAGGACCGGGAAUGGCACCGGGACAGGCACCGGGAUCACCGGGAUGGGCACUGGGACAGAGAGUGGGACCGGGAUCGGCACCGGGAAUAGGGACCGGGACCGGGAUCAGCACCAGGGGCAGCGGCACCGGGAACAGCACCGGCAGCGUGGUCAGUACCGGGACCGGCACCGGGAAGGGGACCGGCAGCAGUACCGGGACCGGGAUCGGCACCAGGAACAGCCCCGGGAGCGGGACCGGCCCCGUGCUCAGCACCGGCCCCGCGAAGGGGCCGGGGCGAUGACCCCGGGGCCGUCACCGGCGCCAGCACCGGCCCCGGGAUGCCCGGUCCCGGGCCCCGAACCCGCGUGGUCCGCGGCGCCCCCACCUCUCCGAGCGCCUGCAGGCUCUUGACGGCGCCCACGAGCGUCUGGUGGUCGAGGCCGAGCGCGGCGGCCGCCUCCAGGCUGCAGAGGCCGCCCCCGGGCCCCGGCGGCUCCCGCUCCAGCCGCUGCAGCAGCAGCUCCGCCACGCUCGGCGACAUCGCGGCGGCCGGAAGCGCUCCCGCCGCCACCCGGAAGUGUUCCUCCUCCUCCCCCCGUCCCCGUGCCGCGCGUGGGCGCCGCCAUCUUGAAUGUGGCGGGAGGGAGGCGCCAUCUUGGGAGUGGCGGGGCAGCCCCGGGGGGCCCCGCGGCGAGGGGGAAGCCGCGAGGCGCGGCGGGAGGGGCUGUGACGUCAUGAGGGCAGAGAGUGACGUCAUGGGGUGCUAGGUGAUGUCACGGCCCGCACCCCGCGGGGCCCCAGGCCAGUCGCCGUGACGACAGCCCCCCCCUUUACAGGCUGUUGCCAUGGCAACGCCCCCCAGGGCCCCACCCCCACCCGGGGGGGGGCUCCCUCCACCCUGCACCUGCCCGGUGCGACACGCGAUAUGACGUCAUCGUGCGACAUGACGUCAUUACUGCUUGCGUCACGGCCCCAAAUCGGGCUCUAAGUCCCCCCAGGCCGACUGGGGGCACCCCACGGGUCCCCCCCCCGCGCACCGUCGCGGUGCUAUUAUGGGAUGGCGCCCCCCCCCCCCCACGUGGUCCGCAGGUGGCCCGGCCCUGCCCC